rnacentral:rRNA from 1 species
ACGGGUGGUAAUGCCGGAUGUUCCAGUUGAUCGCAUGGUCUUCUGGGAAAGCUUUCGCGGUAUGGGAUGGGGUCGCGUCCUAUCAGCUUGACGGCGGGGUAACGGCCCACCGUGGCUUCGACGGGUAGCCGGCCUGAGAGGGCGACCGGCCACAUUGGGACUGAGAUACGGCCCAGACUCCUACGGGAGGCAGCAGUGGGGAAUAUUGCACAAUGGGCGCAAGCCUGAUGCAGCGACGCCGCGUGAGGGAUGGAGGCCUUCGGGUUGUAAACCUCUUUUAUCGGGGAGCAAGCGUGAGUGAGUUUACCCGUUGAAUAAGCACCGGCUAACUACGUGCCAGCAGCCGCGGUAAUACGUAGGGUGCAAGCGUUAUCCGGAAUUAUUGGGCGUAAAGGGCUCGUAGGCGGUUCGUCGCGUCCGGUGUGAAAGUCCAUCGCUUAACGGUGGAUCCGCGCCGGGUACGGGCGGGCUUGAGUGCGGUAGGGGAGACUGGAAUUCCCGGUGUAACGGUGGAAUGUGUAGAUAUCGGGAA